rnacentral:rRNA from 1 species
UAGGGAAUCUUCCACAAUGGACGCAAGUCUGAUGGAGCAACGCCGCGUGAGUGAAGAAGGUUUUCGGACCGUAAAGCUCUGUUGUUGGUGAAGAAGGAUAGAGGUAGUAACUGGCCUUUAUUUGACGGUAAUCAACCAGAAAGUCACGGCUAACUACGUGCCAGCAGCCGCGGUAAUCGUAGGUGGCAAGCGUUGUCCGGAUUUAUUGGGCGUAAAGCGAGCGCAGGCGGAAGAAUAAGUCUGAUGUGAAAGCCCUCGGCUUAACCGAGGAAUUGCAUCGGAAACUGUUUUCUUGAGUGCAGAAGAGGAGAGUAGAACUCCAUGUGUAGCGGUGGAAUGCGUAGAUAUAUGGAAGAAUACCAGUGGCGAAGGCGGCUCUCUGGUCUGCAACUGACGCUGAGGCUCGAAAGCAUGGGUAGCGAACAGGAUUAGAUACCCUGGUAGUCCAUGCCGUAAAACGAUGAG